rnacentral:ncRNA from 1 species
CCUGUCCACACAGGUCGGGAUGUGAUCCCCAGCCGUCGGGGCUCGAGGAUUGAACCAGCAA